GCUCCAAUAGCGUAUAUUAAAGUUGUUGCAGUUAAAAAGCUCGUAGUUGGACUUCUGGAUGCGAUGGCCGGUCCGCAGCAAGUCUGUGUGUACUAGGUGGUUGCAUCCAUGCUCACGGGGGUGCGUCUGUCGGGAGACCGUCGGGCGUGAUCCGUGUCAUUUACUGUGAAAAAAUUAGAGUGUUUAAAGCAGGCAUAUGC
rnacentral:rRNA from 1 species